UAUACUUGUUAGACAUGCCUUUCAUUAGCCAUUUUAUUGCUGUGACAAACUUAUAAGGAUGCACCUUAUUCAUGUUGCUUAUUCAUGUUGGUUCCUAUUCGUACAGAUAAAUCGGCCUCGUCAUCAAAUCACAUGGCAACAUCAGAGUUAUUUGAAUUGUAAGUAUACUUUCAGAUUAGAUCGGCUAAAUACUGAUCUAUAAUAACCCUCAGCUGAACUCUAUACCGAUCUGAGCUGACCGAAAUUGAUUCUAAACAAAAUAUGAUGA
rnacentral:lncRNA from 1 species